rnacentral:rRNA from 1 species
GACGUAGGGGGCAAGCGUUGUCCGGAAUUAUUGGGCGUAAAGCGCGCGCAGGCGGCCCGGUAAGUCGGAUGUGAAAACACGAGGCUCAACCUCGUGCUGUCAUUCGAUACUGUCGGGCUCGAGGCAGGUAGGGGAGAUCGGAAUUCCCGGUGUAGCGGUGAAAUGCGCAGAUAUCGGGAGGAACACCGGUGGCGAAGGCGGAUCUCUGGGCCUGUCCUGACGCUCAGGCGCGAAAGCUGGGGGAGCAAACAGG